GCAUUGUUGGUUUAGUGGUAAAAUCCGUCGUUGCCAAUCCUUGCAAGCAUCUACAGAUCGAGCAAGGACAAAUUCGACGGGCCCCGUGUUCGAUUCACGGACAAUGCA